rnacentral:rRNA from 1 species
UACGUAGGGGGCAAGCGUUGUCCGGAUUUAUUGGGCGUAAAGAGCGUGUAGGCGGCCAUGCAGGUCAGCUGUGAAAACUCGAGGCUCAACCUCGAGACGUCGGUUGAAACCGCAUGGCUAGAGUCCGGAAGAGGAGAGUGGAAUUCCCGGUGUAGCGGUGAAAUGCGCAGAUAUCGGGAAGAACACCGAUGGCGAAGGCAGCUCUCUGGGCCGUAACUGACGCUGAGGAGCGAAAGCGUGGGGAGCGAACAGG